GAUGAACGCUGGCGGCGUGCUUAACACAUGCAAGUCGAACGGUGAAGCAGGAGCUUGCUCUUGUGAUCAGUGGCGAACGGGUGAGUAACACGUGAGCAACCUGCCCCUGACUCUGGGAUAAGCGCUGGAAACGGCGUCUAAUACUGGAUAUGUGAUGUGACCGCAUGGUCUGCAUCUGGAAAGAAUUUCGGUUGGGGAUGGGCUCGCGGCCUAUCAGCUUGUUGGUGAGGUAAUGGCUCACCAAGGCGUCGACGGGUAGCCGGCCUGAGAGGGUGACCGGCCACACUGGGACUGAGACACGGCCCAGACUCCUACGGGAGGCAGCAGUGGGGAAUAUUGCACAAUGGGCGGAAGCCUGAUGCAGCAACGCCGCGUGAGGGAUGACGGCCUUCGGGUUGUAAACCUCUUUUAGCAGGGAAGAAGCGAAAGUGACGGUACCUGCAGAAAAAGCACCGGCUAACUACGUGCCAGCCGCCGCAGUAA
rnacentral:rRNA from 1 species